CCAAACUGUUGCCUCGGCGGGAUCUCUGCCCCGGGUGCGUCGCAGCCCCGGACCAAGGCGCCCGCCGGAGGACCAACCAAAACUCUUUUUGUAUACCCCCUCGCGGGUUUUUUUUUUAUAAUCUGAGCCUUCUCGGCGCCUCUCGUAGGCGUUUCGAAAAUGAAUCAAAACUUUCAACAACGGAUCUCUUGGUUCUGGCAUCGAUGAAAAACGCAGCGAAAUGCGAUAAGUAAUGUGAAUUGCAAAAUUCAGUGAAUCAUCGAAUCUUUGAACGCACAUUGCGCCCGCCAGUAUUCUGGCGGGCAUGCCUGUCCGAGCGUCAUUUCAACCCUCGAACCCCUCCGGGGGGUCGGCGUUGGGGAUCGGCCCUGCCUCUUGGCGGUGGCCGUCUCCGAAAUACAGUGGCGGUCUCGCCGCAGCCUCUCCUGCGCAGUAGUUUGCACACUCGCAUCGGGAGCGCGGCGCGUCCACAGCCGUUAAACACCCAACUUCUGAAAUGUUGACCUCGGAUCAGGUAGGAAUACCCGCUGAACUUAAGCAUAUCAAUAAGGCGGAGGAA
rnacentral:rRNA from 1 species